GACGAACGCUGGCGGCGUGCUUAACACAUGCAAGUCGAACGGAAAGGCCCUGCUUUUGUGGGGUGCUCGAGUGGCGAACGGGUGAGUAACACGUGAGUAACCUGCCCUUGACUUUGGGAUAACUUCAGUAAACUGGGGCUAAUACCGGAUAGGAGCUCCUUCUGCAUGGUGGGGGUUGGAAAGUUUCGGCGGUUGGGGAUGGACUCGCGGCUUAUCAGCUUGUUGGUGGGGUAGUGGCUUACCAAGGCUUUGACGGGUAGCCGGCCUGAGAGGGUGACCGGCCACAUUGGGACUGAGAUACGGCCCAGACUCCUACGGGAGGCAGCAGUGGGGAAUAUUGCAAAAUGGGCGGAAGCCUGAUGCAGCAACGCCGCGUGCGGGAUGACGGCCUUCGGGUUGUAAACCGCUUUCGCCUGUGACGAAGCGUGAGUGACGGUAAUGGGUAAAGAAGCACCGGCUAACUACGUG
rnacentral:rRNA from 1 species